rnacentral:rRNA from 1 species
AGCAGCCGCGGUAAUUCCAGCUCCAAUAGCGUAUAUUAAAGUUGUUGCAGUUAAAAAGCUCGUAGUUGAAUUUCGGGAUCAAAUUGUCGGUCGUGCCUCGGUACGUACUGGCGUUAUUGGUUCCUCCCUUCUGAAGAACCGCGAUGUCAUUAAUUUGGUGUCGCGGGGAAUCAGGACUGUUACUUUGAAAAAAUUAGAGUGUUUAAAGCAGGCUCGCGCUUGAAUACAUUAGCAUGGAAUAAUGAAAUAGGACGUUUGGUUCUAUUUUGUUGGUUUCUAGGAUCGACGUAAUGAUUAAUAGGGAUAGUUGGGGGGCAUUAGUAUUCAAUUGUCAGAGGUGAAAUUCUUGGAUUUAUUGAAGACUAACUACUGCGAAAGCAUUUGCCAAGGAUGUUUUCAUUAAUCAAGAACGAAAGUUAGGGGAUCGAAGACGAUCAGAUACCGUCGUAGUCUUAACCAUAAACUAUGCCGACUAGGGAUCGGAUGAUGUUAAUUUUUUUAAUGACUCAUUCGGCGCCUU